AGGUUCUUUUUGUGAGAUGUUUUCAUGGUCUGGGAAUAAGACUUUGUGGUCUAAUACAGCUAAUAUGAAGGUUAGCACCACAGCUUGUCUGUAAGGAUUGAGGCUGGGAAGGGCCAUUGGAGCUGACUUUUAUGGCAACUUUAACUGAGGAUGCAUCAAAUUUUUGUGUGAUUUAACUGAAACUAUAAAGAAUGUAAUUCAGACAAUAAUUGUGUAUGUGUGAAAAAAUGUUAACAUGGUUAAUGAUUUGAGAGAGAAAAAAAAAAAAAAUUGUGUAAAGAUUCUCCUUUUUCAACAAGAUUGGGAGUUGUAGGAUAUAAGUUAUCCAGUUCAGAACCUGUUUAUUAUCCCCCCUCCCAAGCACCCUUGUGACUAGGUUUGAUGGGUAAGUUGAAAUUGAUGGGAAAUGGACAUUAAUUUUACAAUUUAACUUGUAGUCUAGAUCUACAUUUUACGCAAGAUAUCUUAAUAUGGUCCAUGUGUAGGGGAAACAUUUCCAGCAGGUUUAGAAGGGAGAAUCUAAAAAAGAAAAAGAAAAAAAGAAAAAAAUGUUUUUUCAUUGAAAUGUGAUUUUUAAGUUUGCUGAAUUGUUACAUAUAUAUUUUUUCCAACAUUUUGUAAUUUUUAGCAGUGCUUUUACCUUAAAAAUUAUUUCAAGAGAAACAUACUGGUAGUAAAACGAAUUUAUUUUUUUAUUGAUUUUUGGUGAUGAGUGCCACUUUCUGGAAGAUUGGUUAUAUCUUGGUGGCCAUUAAUAUUAUUGUUGAGGAAGUAUUUAAAAACGUUUUGGAUUUUUGAUAACAAUAUUUUUUUUAAUUUUAUUCAUACUAUUUUUUUAAAAUGUAGCAAUGGUGAGGAGUCCUAACAGGGUGAAAUUUAGGGCAAAGGGAGGUAAUUUUUUAUACCCUUGUUUACCCCUGAUGUCGGGGAAAAUAUGGCUUUAUUUUCUUGCAUAUUUGUAGAAGUUUUGGGGUUAAUAUCAGAUGUAUUAUGCUAGCUAAUAUUGCCUAUUAUUUUGAGUUUUGUAAAUAGAAAAAUGUAAACAUCAUAAGCUCUAAAUGACAGAUUUUGAGAGUGAUGAGGAUAAAAAAAAAUGAUUAUUUCCCAAAAAGCAUAGAAAAGGAACAUCUUGGCAAAAUGGUAAAAAAAAUAAAUUGAUUGAUUGAUCACACUCAGCUUGAAAUAUAGUCCAGGCCAUUUUUUUCAUUGGUUGAGGAAGUGAGAUUAAGGGGAGAUAAUCACCAACAUUCCUAGUCAAUUAAGAUUUAGAGUCGAAAAACAUCUACCACAUUAGGGUUUUGAAUUCUAACCUCAGUUUUGACAGGCUAGUGAUACAGUAGUUCUAAGACCACUCUGCUACCAAUACAAUACCCCUAGAGGUAUAAAUUGUAGUGAAAAUAAAAUAAGUUUUUGAAAUGCUUUGUAUUUUUGUAUUAAAUUAUGGUGAUUGAUACUGUAUACUGUAUUGUUAAAUGUUAAAUAUAGAAAGGAUGUGAAGUAACAACGGGGUGAAAUUUUCAGGGCAAAGGGAGGUAAUUAAUCACUCUGUUUGACUUCAUACUUGAAAUAUUCUCAGUGUUUGGGAAUAUAACAUUUUUGUUGAGCCUUUGACUUUUGUUGAAAAAGCAAGACAAAGCGGUCCUAUUAUCUGUCGUUGGCGUUGUCCCCAAAUAUUUACUCUGUGAUUUUAAUUUAAUAAUUAAAUUUUAAUAACUUUCUUAAACUAUCCUUGAUUUCUACCAAACUUGGACGGAAGCUUGUUUAUAAGAUAGUAUUCCAAAAGUAAAUUUUUGUAAAAAAAAUUUCUGUUUAUCUGUAUUUUACUUAUAAAUGGACAUAAUUUUUCUGCAAAUUAACAUAACAUUCACCAGUCUCUGUGGUUAAAUGAAAUAUUUGAAUAGAAUUUUUCCUGUGUGAUUUGAAAAGUCCCCCCUUCCCUUGGACAACCAAUUAUUUAUCGUUGAAAUUAUUCGUAUGAAUUUACUUAAGGUAAAAAAAAACCUUGUUAUUAUUUAUAGUGUGUUAUAUAUUUUUCUUGUUCAUCAGGGCCUUUAAGUCAUUUUUUCAAUUUCGAAAUCCCUCAAAAAUAUAAGCUAAAGGAACCUUCAAAAUAAGAUUUUUCUUUGAUUUAGUUUGUAAUAAUAUGUUAAAGAGGAAAAUGUCUGUAUUUGUCCAUCUUUGUCUUCCAUCCAAAACUCCAAUACGAUAUAAUCUGAAAAGUGAAUUCAUGGAUCAUGUAUGCAGGGUUUGGCUUGAUAAAACACAGAAUUAAAUGUUUUAUAAGAACAAGACUUUAGGGAUUGCGACAGUGAUUUAAUAAGAGAGACAUAUUUCGUUCCUAUGGCAUCUUCAUC